rnacentral:rRNA from 1 species
CUACGGAGGGGGUUAGCGUUGUUCGGAAUUACUGGGCGUAAAGCGUACGUAGGCGGACUGGAAAGUUGGGGGUGAAAUCCCGGGGCUCAACCCCGGAACUGCCUCCAAAACUUCCAAUCUAGAGAUCGAGAGAGGUGAGUGGAAUUCCAAGUGUAGAGGUGAAAUUCGUAGAUAUUUGGAGGAACACCAGUGGCGAAGGCGGCUCACUGGCUCGAUACUGACGCUGAGGUACGAAAGCGUGGGGAGCAAACAGAAUUAGAAACCCUAGUAGUCC